GCUACAGGCUUAACACAUGCAAGUCGAGGGGCAGCAUUUUAGUUUGCUUGCAAACUGAAGAUGGCGACCGGCGCACGGGUGAGUAACACGUAUCCAACCUACCGAUAACUCCGGAAUAGCCUUUCGAAAGAAAGAUUAAUACCGGAUAGCAUACGAAUAUCGCAUGAUAUUUUUAUUAAAGAAUUUCGGUCAUCGAUGGGGAUGCGUUCCAUUAGUUUGUUGGCGGGGUAACGGCCCACCAAGACUACGAUGGAUAGGGGUUCUGAGAGGAAGGUCCCCCACAUUGGAACUGAGACACGGUCCAAACUCCUACGGGAGGCAGCAGUGAGGAAUAUUGGUCAAUGGGCGAGAGCCUGAACCAGCCAAGUAGCGUGAAGGAUGAAGGCUCUAUGGGUCGUAAACUUCUUUUAUAUGGGAAUAAAGUUUUCCACGUGUGGAAUUUUGUAUGUACCAUAUGAAUAAGGAUCGGCUAACUCCGUGCCAGCAGCCGCGGUAAUACGGAGGAUCCGAGCGUUAUCCGGAUUUAUUGGGUUUAAAGGGAGCGUAGGUGGAUUGUUAAGUCAGUUGUGAAAGUUUGCGGCUCAACCGUAAAAUUGCAGUUGAAACUGGCAGUCUUGAGUACAGUAGAGGUGGGCGGAAUUCGUGGUGUAGCGGUGAAAUGCUUAGAUAUCACGAAGAACUCCGAUUGCGAAGGCAGCUCACUAGACUGUCACUGACACUGAUGCUCGAAAGUGUGGGUAUCAAACAGGAUUAGAUACCCUGGUAGUCCACACAGUAAACGAUGAAUACUCGCUGUUUGCGAUAUACAGUAAGCGGCCAAGCGAAAGCAUUAAGUAUUCCACCUGGGGAGUACGCCGGCAACGGUGAAACUCAAAGGAAUUGACGGGGGCCCGCACAAGCGGAGGAACAUGUGGUUUAAUUCGAUGAUACGCGAGGAACCUUACCCGGGCUUAAAUUGCAACAGAAUAUAUUGGAAACAGUAUAGCCGUAAGGCUGUUGUGAAGGUGUUGCAUGGUUGUCGUCAGCUCGUGCCGUGAGGUGUCGGCUUAAGUGCCAUAACGAGCGCAACCCUUAUCUUUAGUUACUAACAGGUUAUGCUGAGGACUCUAGAGAGACUGCCGUCGUAAGAUGUGAGGAAGGUGGGGAUGACGUCAAAUCAGCACGGCCCUUACGUCCGGGGCUACACACGUGUUACAAUGGGGGGUACAGAAGGCGGCUACCUGGUGACAGGAUGCUAAUCCCAAAAACCUCUCUCAGUUCGGAUCGAAGUCUGCAACCCGACUUCGUGAAGCUGGAUUCGCUAGUAAUCGCGCAUCAGCCAUGGCGCGGUGAAUACGUUCCCGGGCCUUGUACACACCGCCCGUCAAGCCAUGAAAGCCGGGGGUACCUGAAGUACGUAACCGCAAGGAGCGUCCUAGGGUAAAACUGGUAAUUGGGGCUAAA
rnacentral:rRNA from 1 species